UAUCUUGUAUCGGAAAAUUUGUGAAGAGAUCCGGGUACAUCUAUAUUAAGAAUUUUCCAACGUUGGGCACUGCUGCUAAAACAAGUUGAAACACUUUUGAACAAAAACAAGAAAUGUGAUGCGGCAGUUCAACAUUCCGCUGAAUCGACUCCAAAUAAGUUAAGGCUGUGAACUGCACAUAGUGAUAAUAAUUAGGGGCCCAGAUCGGCAAGCUUCUGACUUAUAGAUUGGUAGAUACCAUGGAAACAGGGGUCCGAUCGUAAAAGAAUGAAUGAUUUUAAAUUUACGGGCCCUCAAAAAUAAGUGGGAAUAGGUAUGUAUGUACGCUCUCCUCACUUCUUUCAACUUUACGAGCCCCCCUUUUUCCCUCCCUCACGAUGGGGCUGAAUACUAGUGCAUCUGUAAACAGCUACAUUAACUUUCGCGUUCCAUCCAUCAUAGAUGAAUUUUAACCUCAUUUUUUCUUGAUAGUCGACAAUAGGUAGUUUCAGAUCACACAAGGAACUGAUAGGUAUGGCAAGUUCAUUCUUUGUGGUUGGUUGUCAAAAAAGUUGUAUUCCAGGUUACACAAAUUUUUUGGAAACUUGUAUGGGAAAUUUUUCAAAAUCAACCCUACUUGCUUUAAAAUAUCAUGAUCAUGUUUUCAUGUUUUAUUCAACUGGAAGUAGAACUCCUCCAAUAAUAAGUGAUUUAUUUGUUUUGCGCACAAUACCAUUUAAAAUUUAGUGGUUACCUCACCAAAUUGAAAAAAAGUUAAAAACAUAACUCAUGACAGAUUUGGUAAGUUAAGUGAAAAGUUUUCUUUUAGACAAUGUUGAAGUUAUUAAUACUUUUUCCAUCAUAAACUGAAGUUUAGGGUUAGUAAAUUAAGAUGCCAAGUUUGAAAUUAUAUUGAGUUUACUAAAUACGUUUUCUGAACCUGUUCCAUCUCAGGUUGUUUAAAAAAAUUACUUUCACAGUUCUCUUAGUGUUCUUGACGUAAGGCAUUUAAUAAUUAGCGAAAAUAUUUUUCUUAACUUAGUAUUGAAUAGAAUCGUUCAAAAACGCUUUAAAUCGUCUUUAAAAAAAGCCAAUCAUUUAAAACUCAUCUUAUAAGUCCUUGGACUUGCUACGUCAGCUGAAAAACAAACAAGUGUUAUAAUACGCAAAAAUUAGUUUCCGUCGAAACAUAAAACUUCAUCUUAAGUGACAUGCGAGAGCAAUGUUGGACACUUCUCUAUGAUCACAUCCAUAGGGGUGCGAAGUUUUUUGGCGUUGGAUGAAAGAUCUUAAGUCAUUUUAGGUUUUUGAACUGGUUUUACGGCUUUUUUUUACUUUUUCGUUAAAUUGUAACAGCUUGAGCUUAGAACAACUGCUUAAUAUGGUAUUAACUAGCUGACCCGUCCACGAGUUGCUGUGGCUAACGUUUUCUGUCAUACACAUUGUUGCAAACGAUUUAAGGGGAACGGUAGGAAAACAUCAGACAUGGGCACUACCAUACUUUUUAACAUAGUUUCAAUUUGUGCACAAACACAAUGACUGAUUUAUUAUAAUUAUGAAUUGUAAAUACUUUUAAUUUCAAUUUAAUUUAGCGCUUAUCGAUGAACAACUUAUCUUUCUCUAACACAAAUAAAUUCGGUGGUUUUCCUAAACGUGAACAUGCAGCAUAUGGCUAGCCAUUAGAAAAACAUGGAUUUUCCAAGUUUAAACAACAAAUGGACAUUGUUUGGCCUCGAGACUUAGAAACUGUAGCUUUCUGAAUUGGAAACUGUAUCCUUUUAAAGGGUUUGACCAAAACUGUACCGUUGCAUAAUAAAGGUGGAUUCAAAUUGCGAAGGAGAAUAAUAGCUGAACCAAUAUGUAAUCGAAGGUUAUGUGGGGGCAUUCCAGUAUCGAUUGAUUUAAAAAACAUCAGAUCAUCUGGUAACUUGGUCAACAUCAACAUUUUUGGCUGCCCAAAUAGCCCUAUGACUGACCCACUUAUGAUUCAUUAUUUCAGAUGACCAGUUUUUUACCUAACCCAUUUUAGCCUAACGACAAAGAGUUAUUAGUGUGGUUCGCAUGCCAGGUUUUUUUAGCUUUCCUAAAUUUUCAAUCUUAACCAACUUUUCUUAGAAGAACAACGUCUGCCCAGGCAGCUAGUCCAAUAUGCUCACUUAAUGCGAACAAAAGCAAUAUCUCAAAGCCAAAGACGACACCAUUUCUAAUGUUUUUCGACGACACUACACUCUAUUGUAUUUUAUUAACCCUGCCCUUUUGUAGCGGAACAAAUUUGGCGAUUUGUCCUUCUUCAUUUCUUAACAAUUAUUUUAUUGUCUUCAUAAUUUUUGGCAUAAAAGGCUUCUGUAUAUACAAAACAAAGUAUACUAACAUUUUGUUUUUGUUGUUAACUGGUUCAAUGUCACAACAUAAUUUAAUUAGUUUGCAGUUUAAAAUUUAAAUAUAUACAAAUUUAAAAACAAAAUAAAUAAAAGGUUGAGAU